GGGGAGGGGUUCCCAGGUGUGCUCUCGGGGGUCCCCACUGCGGCUGGGAACGCCCAUUUCGUGCGCUCCUGGGUCCGCAAGGAUCGGCAUCCAGUGGGCGCAGUGGAGGGGUGCGGACCACAGACCCAAGGCAUGGUGGUUACUAAUAGACUGCCCACAGUACUUCUUCAUUCCAUGUGGACUCCUUCAAAGGCAGUGGAGCAUCACAGCUUCCCUUGAACUUCGCCUGGAAUGUUACUGAGAUGUUCAUUGAUUUGGACAAACUUGAUGGACUUAAAGCAGACGGUGAAUAUGGGAUCUGCGUGGCCUUUUCUAUAUGGAUAUUU
rnacentral:lncRNA from 1 species